AAGACUAUACUUUCAGGGAUCAUUUCUAUAGUAUUUUACAAAAUAACUUUUUAAGAUUGUGCCGGUGCUGGCUCUCUGAGGUUACACAAGGCUGGCUCUCUGAGGUUACACAGGUGCUGGCUCUCUGAGGUUACACAGGGCUGGCUCUCUGAGG
ensembl:snoRNA U3 Small nucleolar RNA U3